UACGAAGGGGGCUAGCGUUGUUCGGAAUUACUGGGCGUAAAGGGCGCGUAGGCGGUACUUCAAGUCAGGCGUGAAAGCCCCGGGCUCAACCUGGGAACCGCGCUUGAGACUGGAGAACUAGAGUUCGGGAGAGGAUGGUGGAAUUCCCAGUGUAGAGGUGAAAUUCGUAGAUAUCUGGAGGAACACCGGUGGCGAAGGCGGCAUCCUGGACCGGUAUUGACGCUGAGGCGCGAAAGCCAGGGGAGCAAACGGG
rnacentral:rRNA from 1 species